AAAAAAAAAAAAAUGACGUGCUUAACACAUGCAAGUCGAGCGAACUGAUUAGAAGCUUGCUUCUAUGACGUUAGCGGCGGACGGGUGAGUAACACGUGGGCAACCUGCCUGUAAGACUGGGAUAACUCCGGGAAACCGGAGCUAAUACCGGAUAACAUUUUUUCUUGCAUAAGAGAAAAUUGAAAGAUGGUUUCGGCUAUCACUUACAGAUGGGCCCGCGGUGCAUUAGCUAGUUGGUGAGGUAACGGCUCACCAAGGCAACGAUGCAUAGCCAACCUGAGAGGGUGAUCGGCCACACUGGGACUGAGACACGGCCCAGACUCCUACGGGAGGCAGCAGUAGGGAAUCUUCCGCAAUGGACGAAAGUCUGACGGAGCAACGCCGCGUGAGUGAUGAGGCUUUCGGGUCGUAAAACUCUGUUGUUAGGGAAGAACAAGUACAAGAGUAACUGCUGACUG
rnacentral:rRNA from 2 species